CUUUUCCGCCGCGUUCCUCACAGCUUGUGCUCUUUUCGCUCCGGCCCGACCCACUGGUUCAGCCCUCGUGCAGAGCGGCAGGGCUCGGUGCCUCGGGUUUGAUGCAAGAACGGCACUUCGCAAUGUUUACUGCAGCGGCGCCAGCGCUGAUGCCGGCAUGUUCCUGAGGCGGCCCCAGCCGAAACUGGGGCACCAUCUUCAUAAAAAUCACACUUUUUUUCUUUCUUUUUUUUUUUGUUUUUCCUCCCCAAAAUGAAAGCAGCUCCGGAUGCCGUCUCCCCGCUUCCAAAUUUAACGUUUAACCCACAUUUCAAAAAUAGGUCUGAGGCGUUAUCCGGCUGCAGCAGAAUUAUUUCCAUUGAAGAAGAAGGAAAGCCAUUAGAAUAGGAAAAAAAGAAAUAAUUUCUCCGGUUAUUUUGGGAACGUCUCCUUGAGGGCCUGUCUGCAGCCUCGCCGGGCUCUGGUUUCCAGUAAUUAGUGUGAUGGUUUGAUUACAGAUGCCAAAUUUCUUGGGGGAGCACUGGGGCGGAGUCCCAUCUUCUGCAGCCCCUGAAGGAGCACUGAAAUUACCGGAGCUUUGUCUUUCCUUUAGGGUUAAGCUAUUUUUACAUAACCCCCUCUUCUUGUGAAUGGUGGACGUUCUGCACAUAAAUAAUCCCAGUAUGGGAACAACAUGGGAAAGCAGCCCGAACACGGAGACCAUUGCAGCUGCAGAGCUUAAGCAACUUCCAAACUUAAUCAUGUCACAAUUACAGGGUACCCGUGGAGCCUUAAUUUGGCUCCUUUACAUACACAGUCUAAUUACAGAGUGUGUUUUCCAGAGUAAGCAUACCUCCUUUGAAAGAAGAGGUAAGCUUGAGAUGGCAGCGGAAAAUGCUUUUUGGUUGGGUAUUUUUUUUCCAGAUAAGAGAAAACAAUAAUUGGACACCGAAAGACACGCGCAGCUCUGAUGGGAAAAAGUGGUAGGGAGUGCCUCGUUCCCUCUCAAGUCCUAAAAGAACAAACCUGCACCUUCCAAAUGCAGGGAAAGACUGUUAGUAAUAAUGACAACUUCAGUCAAUGCGGGCAAUAUUACUGCAGCGCAUGAGAGCCCUGAUCACAGAGAAGGGCAGAUUACAUUAUUCCAUUCCCCAUCAUCACCUGGUGUUUGCUUAAAUUCAGUCAUUAACAUUGCUGCCUUGGCAGUCUAGUUAAAUUAUUCAGCACUUUUGUAAUGCAUUACCUUUUUAAUUACGCUUUUAAACAUAGCUUCUCGUUUCUGCUUGGAAGCAGUUCAUCUAGUUCCAGGCUCCUUUUCGUUUUCAGACAAACAGGGAAUCGCAUUAGAAUUUUCUCAAACAUGGAAAUCAUUUCUCAGCCAGCCAAAAUUAUAAGGCAGUGUUUGUCGACUGUGUUUUUGCAUCUGUACGGCUUCUACUUAUUCUCUUUAUUCGUGGAACUUAAUCGUAAAGCUUUGUAUUACUUUUUUUAAGCUCCCUACCAAUGGGCAUAGAAUUCUGUCAGGCAGUCCUCAUACUGAAACAAGAGAGAAAUUUACAACCAAUGCAGUUCCCUUAGUGAAAUUCUCUAAGAUUAGAAAUAAGGAGGCCGUUUACCUGCAAACAGCUGCAGCCGGGAGAAAAGGAAGGACUCUCAUCCCAAUUCAGUUUGAUGAACUGCUCGUUACGCUGCGAAGCAAUGGAGACACUGCUGUGAGCACUCCCCAGGAGCUGGAAGCGGUGGAUGGAUACACACAGGUGCUCAAUUCUACCAGAGAAUGUGGGUUCUCAACCACUUCACAAAGAGGACACAUGGCAAACAGUGCACAGGAGCACAAGCCCAUGGCUUAAAAACACUUCAGAGCAAGACAGCACGUGCUGCUUCCCUCUGGGGCACCCACGUCCCUCUCUGAACCCCUCUGGCAGCUGGGAAGACGUGUACCCACACCGACAGUGUUUGUCCAACCCUGCAGCCACGGAGAGGCCAAAACCCAACUCAGUGAGCACUGCCAACAGAAAGAAUAAAGUCCAGCGAGGUGACAGAAGCCACAAAGCAAAGGUCAGGGCCGGCCGACCAGCCAAAAACAGCACCGAAAAGGCGCUCACAGAAACGGAGGCUUGGAAAGAAAGCCACCUUUAAGGCUACCCAACAGCAGCCGCAGCGCCGCACUACGCAGUGCCACCGCCUCCUGCGGCCCACCGAGCGACCUCCCUGCCACCCCCCGCGCAGCCACAAGGACGCUUCAGCUCAGCAGGGGACCGGACCCGGGGGGCAGGGGAGCAGCCGGGCCG